UACGGAGGGAGCUAGCGUUGUUCGGAAUUACUGGGCGUAAAGCGCACGUAGGCGGCUUUGUAAGUUAGAGGUGAAAGCCCGGGGCUCAACCCCGGAAUUGCCUUUAAGACUGCAUCGCUUGAAUCCGGGAGAGGUGAGUGGAAUUCCGAGUGUAGAGGUGAAAUUCGUAGAUAUUCGGAAGAACACCAGUGGCGAAGGCGGCUCACUGGACCGGUAUUGACG
rnacentral:rRNA from 1 species